GGCAAGAUGGCCGAGUGGUCUAAGGCGCUGUGUUUAGGCCGCAGUACGAAAGUGCGAGGGUUCGAAUCCCUCUCUUGUCA
rfam:Aspergillus cristatus strain GZAAS20.1005 Scaffold_Scf_9, whole genome shotgun sequence.